rnacentral:rRNA from 1 species
UGGGUGACCUGCCCUGCACUUCGGGAUAAGCCUGGGAAACUGGGUCUAAUACCGGAUAUGAUCUUGGGAUGCAUGUCCUGUGGUGGAAAGCUUUUGCGGUGUGGGAUGGGCCCGCGGCCUAUCAGCUUGUUGGUGGGGUUAAGCCUACAAGGCGACGACGGAUAGCCGGCCUGAGAGGGCGACCGGCCACACUGGGACUGAGACACGGCCCAGACUCCGUACGGGAGCA